rnacentral:rRNA from 1 species
CAUGCAAGUCGAGGGGCAGCAUCAUCAAAGCUUGCUUUGAUGGAUGGCGACCGGCGCACGGGUGAGUAACACGUAUCCAACCUGCCGACAACACUGGGAUAGCCUUUCGAAAGAAAGAUUAAUACCGGAUGGCAUAGUUUUCCCGCAUGGGAUGAUUAUUAAAGAAUUUCGGUUGUCGAUGGGGAUGCGUUCCAUUAGGCAGUUGGCGGGGUAACGGCCCACCAAACCAACGAUGGAUAGGGGUUCUGAGAGGAAGGUCCCCCACAUUGGAACUGAGACACGGUCCAAACUCCUACGGGAGGCAGCAGUGAGGAAUAUUGGUCAAUGGACGAGAGUCUGAACCAGCCAAGUAGCGUGAAGGAUGACUGCCCUAUGGGUUGUAAACUUCUUUUAUACGGGAAUAAAGUUAGCCACGUGUGGCUUUUUGUAUGUACCAUAUGAAUAAGGAUCGGCUAACUCCGUGCCAGCAGCCGCGGUAAUACGGAGGAUCCGAGCGUUAUCCGGAUUUAUUGGGUUUAAAGGGAGCGUAGGUGGAUUGUUAAGUCAGUUGUGAAAGUUUGCGGCUCAACCGUAAAAUUGCAGUUGAAACUGGCAGUCUUGAGUACAGUAGAGGUGGGCGGAAUUCGUGGUGUAGCGGUGAAAUGCUUAGAUAUCACGAAGAACUCCGAUUGCGAAGGCAGCUCACUAGACUGCAACUGACACUGAUGCUCGAAAGUGUGG